AACAAAUGCUCCUCAACACCUGAGGGUGGCUGGCUCUCAGAAAUGCCUCUGGAAAUGUGACUCACAGAAGAAGUAGCGGGAGGCUCCUAUGGCAUUCGCUCUGACACGGGAAAGAUCAUUCCCUCUUACUGUACAUAUCACAGGAGUCACCACCUCUGCAUCCGCAAAUGACACAGAAGAAUGCAUCUAAAGAAGUGGGGACAUUUGAUGUUCUCUCCUCCCACACCAAACUCCCAUCCGUUCAUGAGGCCAACAAACACUCAUCGUUAAAUCAGUGAGGCCAGUCAAGAUGUCUGUAACACAGCAAGACACACAGCAAAAACAGCAGCAAGAACAGCAACAAACUUGUCUCUCCCUGCCUGCAAACAUCACGAACAGUGAUCAUGCCUAGUAGGCUGUUGGGAAGUGCAUUAUCUUCUGACCUUAAUAUCGUAGCAGAGAGAAAUCAUCUUCUCAAAGGCUGGUACUUUGAUCACACUCAGAAAUAAAGAUCAGAGGAUGACUAAGAGUCUUGGGAAUUGGGUUCUUGCUCUCUGUCUUGCUCAUGCAGGCACACAAAAAUUCACACGAAGGCACAUUUUCGUGUAUUUGUUAUUGACGCAGACACACAUCAGUGAGGGAUACUUACAGUGCACGUACUUAACUGACACAUUACACAAAUGUUUGCUGUGUACAGAAUAAUCAAGGAAACAGACUCAUGUUUAUUAUUACUGAAUCAGCAGCAGUCUAAUGGAUUAAAAACAUCCUCAUUUUUUUUUCCUCUCUCCUGUUGUGAAAGUGCCAGUGUUGUAAACUCUCCCUGCAAGAGAAGUGGGUGGAGAUGAGACGACUCAUGACCUCCACGAUCUGUAUGCUCCCAAUCUCUCAGGUUAGGUCUCCUGGCCAUAAUCCAAAAUCCAAGAAAAUCAGCCACAGAUACUUGGAGCGAAUUGGAUUGGGAAAGAAGACAGUAAAUGUCUGUUUCCGGUUCACAGGCCCCUUAGCGUCACCACAUAUUUUGGAAGUCUGUCUGGCUUCCUGACUUUGAGAGUCUCUUGAUUUAAACUUCAGGGAACAGUAGUGAAAGGGGGGAAAACAAGACUUACCUAAAACCUCUUGAAUAGUUGGAACAUUUUAUUUUCUCUUUUUCUUUGAAAACGUUUAAAGUUUUAAUUUAUUAGAUUAUUUAUUUAUUUAUUGGUAGGGAUAUUUCUGCUAACUCCUGGUACUAGAAUGAGUUGUGGUUAGUUACAUAUAUACUCUUCAGAUUGGAAGAGAUGUCCAGAAAUGAGUCCGAACUUUUCCUUAAACACUCAGAUUUCCACCAAUUACUCUGGUAUCAGAGCUGGAACUUAAGGCCACUGUGACCCAGUACAAGAAGGCACUUGGUCUACACUGACACAGUAAUUUCUUAAACUUGACACUACUUCCAGUCUCAUUUAAACACAUAUGCAAAU